AAAAUGGCGGACAAACUUUCACACGUUUCAUCCUUCUCAGUUAAAGAGAUGUGUGAAUGGAUGGAUAGCAUCUCAAAAGAUCUCACAACCAUAUUUAAAGGGAGUCGAGUUGCCACCCUCUGACGUUUUACAGAGGGCACAUACAGAUGGCAGUACAGAUGCAGCCCUACUUAGUAAAGAGUGUACUUUACCAGUGGGAGAGGUUAACAUUUGGUUGGAGCACCUCAACAAUGUCGCUGCAAACAGAGAAAGGGGCCAGGCAAAGGCUGCAGAGACACGGUCUCUGAAAAAGAAAGAGUUGAGGACAGAGACAACUCCUGGUGGUGCUGCCACAUCGACUGCGACUACCCAUAGAAGUUCCGCUAGGAGCCCAAACCAUAGCCAGGCUCAGAGUGCA